GAUUAAGUUAUUAAGGGCGCACGGUGGAUGCCUUGGCACUAGAAGCCGAUGAAGGACGUUACUAACGACGAUAUGCUUUGGGGAGCUGUAAGUAAGCUUUGAUCCAGAGAUUUCCGAAUGGGGAAACCCAGCAUGAGUUAUGUCAUGUUAUCGAUAUGUGAAUACAUAGCAUAUCAGAAGGCACACCCGGAGAACUGAAACAUCUUAGUACCCGGAGGAAGAGAAAGAAAAUUCGAUUCCCUUAGUAGCGGCGAGCGAAACGGGAAGAGCCCAAACCAACAAGCUUGCUUGUUGGGGUUGUAGGACACUCUAUACGGAGUUACAAAGGACGACAUUAGACGAAUCAUCUGGAAAGAUGAAUCAAAGAAGGUAAUAAUCCUGUAGUCGAAAAUGUUGUCUCUCUUGAGUGGAUCCUGAGUACGACGGAGCACGUGAAAUUCCGUUGGAAUCUGGGAGGACCAUCUCCUAAGGCUAAAUACUCUCUAGUGACCGAUAGUGAACCAGUACCGUGAGGGAAAGGUGAAAAGCACCCCGGAAGGGGAGUGAAAUAGAACCUGAAACCGUGUGCUUACAAGUAGUCAGAGCCCGUUAAUGGGUGAUGGCGUGCCUUUUGUAGAAUGAACCGGCGAGUUACGAUUUGAUGCAAGGUUAAGCAGUAAAUGUGGAGCCGUAGCGAAAGCGAGUCUGAAUAGGGCGUUUAGUAUUUGGUCGUAGACCCGAAACCAGGUGAUCUACCCUUGGUCAGGUUGAAGUUCAGGUAACACUGAAUGGAGGACCGAACCGACUUACGUUGAAAAGUGAGCGGAUGAACUGAGGGUAGCGGAGAAAUUCCAAUCGAACCUGGAGAUAGCUGGUUCUCUCCGAAAUAGCUUUAGGGCUAGCCUCAAGUGAUGAUUAUUGGAGGUAGAGCACUGUUUGGACGAGGGGCCCCUCUCGGGUUACCGAAUUCAGACAAACUCCGAAUGCCAAUUAAUUUAACUUGGGAGUCAGAACAUGGGUGAUAAGGUCCGUGUUCGAAAGGGAAACAGCCCAGACCACCAGCUAAGGUCCCAAAAUAUAUGUUAAGUGGAAAAGGAUGUGGCGUUGCCCAGACAACUAGGAUGUUGGCUUAGAAGCAGCCAUCAUUUAAAGAGUGCGUAAUAGCUCACUAGUCGAGUGACACUGCGCCGAAAAUGUACCGGGGCUAAACAUAUUACCGAAGCUGUGGAUUGUCCUUUGGACAAUGGUAGGAGAGCGUUCUAAGGGCGUUGAAGCAUGAUCGUAAGGACAUGUGGAGCGCUUAGAAGUGAGAAUGCCGGUGUGAGUAGCGAAAGACGGGUGAGAAUCCCGUCCACCGAUUGACUAAGGUUUCCAGAGGAAGGCUCGUCCGCUCUGGGUUAGUCGGGUCCUAAGCUGAGGCCGACAGGCGUAGGCGAUGGAUAACAGGUUGAUAUUCCUGUACCACCUAUAAUCGUUUUAAUCGAUGGGGGGACGCAGUAGGAUAGGCGAAGCGUGCGAUUGGAUUGCACGUCUAAGCAGUAAGGCUGAGUAUUAGGCAAAUCCGGUACUCAUUAAGGCUGAGCUGUGAUGGGGAGAAGACAUUGUGUCUUCGAGUCGUUGAUUUCACACUGCCGAGAAAAGCCUCUAGAUAGAAAAUAGGUGCCCGUACCGCAAACCGACACAGGUAGUCAAGAUGAGAAUUCUAAGGUGAGCGAGCGAACUCUCGUUAAGGAACUCGGCAAAAUGACCCCGUAACUUCGGGAGAAGGGGUGCUCUUUAGGGUUAACGCCCAGAAGAGCCGCAGUGAAUAGGCCCAAGCGACUGUUUAUCAAAAACACAGGUCUCUGCUAAACCGUAAGGUGAUGUAUAGGGGCUGACGCCUGCCCGGUGCUGGAAGGUUAAGAGGAGUGGUUAGCUUCUGCGAAGCUACGAAUCGAAGCCCCAGUAAACGGCGGCCGUAACUAUAACGGUCCUAAGGUAGCGAAAUUCCUUGUCGGGUAAGUUCCGACCCGCACGAAAGGCGUAACGAUUUGGGCACUGUCUCAACGAGAGACUCGGUGAAAUCAUAGUACCUGUGAAGAUGCAGGUUACCCGCGACAGGACGGAAAGACCCCGUGGAGCUUUACUGUAGCCUGAUAUUGAAAUUCGGCACAGCUUGUACAGGAUAGGUAGGAGCCUUUGAAACGUGAGCGCUAGCUUACGUGGAGGCGCUGGUGGGAUACUACCCUAGCUGUGUUGGCUUUCUAACCCGCACCACUUAUCGUGGUGGGAGACAGUGUCAGGCGGGCAGUUUGACUGGGGCGGUCGCCUCCUAAAAGGUAACGGAGGCGCUCAAAGGUUCCCUCAGAAUGGUUGGAAAUCAUUCAUAGAGUGUAAAGGCAUAAGGGAGCUUGACUGCGAGACCUACAAGUCGAGCAGGGUCGAAAGACGGACUUAGUGAUCCGGUGGUUCCGCAUGGAAGGGCCAUCGCUCAACGGAUAAAAGCUACCCCGGGGAUAACAGGCUUAUCUCCCCCAAGAGUUCACAUCGACGGGGAGGUUUGGCACCUCGAUGUCGGCUCAUCGCAUCCUGGGGCUGUAGUCGGUCCCAAGGGUUGGGCUGUUCGCCCAUUAAAGCGGUACGCGAGCUGGGUUCAGAACGUCGUGAGACAGUUCGGUCCCUAUCCGUCGUGGGCGUAGGAAAUUUGAGAGGAGCUGUCCUUAGUACGAGAGGACCGGGAUGGACAUACCUCUGGUGUACCAGUUGUCGUGCCAACGGCAUAGCUGGGUAGCUAUGUGUGGACGGGAUAAGUGCUGAAAGCAUCUAAGCAUGAAGCCCCCCUCAAGAUGAGAUUUCCCAACUUCGGUUAUAAGAUCCCUCAAAGAUGAUGAGGUUAAUAGGUUCGAGGUGGAAGCAUGGUGACAUGUGGAGCUGACGAAUACUAAUCGAUCGAAGACUUAAUCAA
rnacentral:rRNA from 1 species